AAAACCUGACAGAAGCUUGUGAAAGACAAGAAACAGAGAAGGAAGCCUAGGCCCCAGUCCCCCAAUCCUCCCAAAAUUAUAGCUCUUGCUAGGAGUUCUGGGGAACCCUAACACCUUCCCUUAGCUAGGUGUCCUCACCAGUUCCCGGGACGGUCUUCAGGCUCUCCUCAGCCGCUGCUAGAGAGCUGAGCACAUGGUAUUUUAGCUAGCUAUGUGUAUCUGUCUACCCCAAGAUACUCUGCACUCCUGAAAAUCAGGGAUGGUAACUUCAUCUCUACAUCCCCAGUACCUAGGUUCAGUGUUGGCCUGUCAGUGCAUGGUAUAUGGAAUUGAACCGUCUCCUCUGUUAAGGCUGGAAUCCUGUACAGCAGGGAUCAUAUUUCCUAGAGUCUCUUGUCGUUUCCAGCGGCACGGAUAAACAAGACAGUCCGGCAUCAUUUAAUGGAUUCCUUGCACCUUUACAGGCUGAAUGAAUAAAUGAAUGGCUUGGAGAAUUUAACAUGUGCUUUUUAAUUUGCAAUACACUCUACAAUUCUUUGUGGUUAUUUUUAGCAAAAAGGAAUUAGAAAAAUCAUCCGCACGUGUGUUAAUUUCCUUAAUUUCACGGGUGACCAUGUUUCCCCCACGCCCUCUGCCCCCAAACAUUCUAGAGGUGUGCCCUCCCCACCACUCCCCAGUAAUGCGAUUGGUACUUCCUGGCCGAGCGCCGACGAGAUGCGCCUCCUCGGCAGUGAAUGGCCACCCAUCCGCGUACCAGCCCAGGGCUGCUUAAGAAUUUUCAUCGCGUUCAAUUUUUUUCUUUAUAGAUUGGAUACUUCUUAACGAAAAGAAAGAACUGAAGAUAAAUUUAAAGCUAAUCCUACUUGAUUCAAGAUCCCUUCUCCUUUCCCCCCUGUUUUUAGAGGGAAAAAAGUCAUCUGCCUAGAUACUUGUAUUUGCAAAUUUAUAAUGCUUUUGAUAUGUGCAUUAGGUAAAGUACUGCCAUGUGUUAUAAAAAAUAAACUCCUGAUAUCCAUAGCUUAACUCAAUAAGAGUCUAAAUCUCACUCACUGGUAUGGUGCAAACCACAUUAGAGCGAAUAAUGCCCUGUUUACACUAUUAAAAAAAGACAUAGCCACCAGUGACUAGUAGGCAUUGAUGAGGGCUCUACAUAGUCAUUCAGAUAUCCAGUAUUUCCCACAGACAACACAGGUCAUCUAAGUUAACUCAGCCAAACGAUGGGAAAAGAGUAUCAUGAGGGAGGUUGUAGAGGCCAAGCCUAAAAGUAAUAUAUCACAUUUAAUGGUGAAAUGUUUGACAUAUUCCGUUUGAAAUUAUUGAAUGAGACAAAGAUGGCUGCUGCUGUCACUUUCAGCAUGUUGCAGUUCCAGGCAGCACAGAAAGACAAGAAACUAAAGGUUUUGUUUUGCAUAUUAUAUGAUUGUCAUAUAGAAACUCAACAAAUAUCUAUGGUCUUAUAAGAUAAAUAAUUCCAAGAGUUGCUUAAUAAUAGAUCAGUAUACAAAAUAAAUUGCAAUCCUUACUAUUACUGAAUAGAUUAAAUAAAAUUUAAAAAUAACUUUUACAGUAGCAACAGAAAAUAUGAAGUACCAAGGAAUAAAUCUAAUAAAAGAUGUGAUUGACCCACAUUGAAAAGAUUAUAAGGCUUUAUUGAAAUACAUUUAAAGACAUCAAUAAAUGAACACAUACCAUUUUUAUGAAGAGAAAGAUUCAAUAUCAUAAAAACAUCUAUUCUUCCCAAAUGAAUCAAUUCAAUUUAAGUCCAAUUGAGAAAAAAACAAAAACAAAACAGGCAUUUUCCUGGAACCUGAAUAAACAAUUUCUAUGAAAGAGUAAAGGAAGAAGGAAAGUCAAAGUGAUUUUGAUGAAUAAGAGUGGGAAGGACUGACCUAUGUUAUCAAGGCUUAUUAAAAACCAUAGUCAUUGUGCCCUGAUACAGGGAUACACACACAAAAAUGAAGGAGACUGGAGAAGCCAGAUGAGACCCCUCGCAUAUGACAAGCAGUAACAUCACAGUCAGUGAAGGAAAGGAUGGACUGGUCAGCAAAUAAUGGCUGUGCAAACAGAAAAAAAAAAUUGGAUCUCUGACUUAUAAGCCAAGA